CUGUGGUUUACUAGAAAGCACCAGGAAAUGUGAAUAUUCUGAUAGUGUUUUAGAAUGAAAUGAUGGUAUCGAACAGGAAACAGGAAACUGAAUUCAGAGCGGGGCUGUGGAAUUGAUGUCUAAACAGAUCCUUUAUCUAUAGCAACAAUUCCCAUCUGUUUCAAGAUUCCAUCACAGAACACAAGUUUCUCGGUUCCAUUAACUUGGCUAAUGGAUCGCCAUCCCCAAAGGCGUUGAAGAAUAUCUUCCUCUUGUUAUUUCAAGUUUAUUCCUAAAAGUCAAAUGCACAUAAAACAAUAAGUUAAUGGUGACAGCUAAAUAAAGAAUUUCAUCCAUUUGAAAUGUUCAAAGAAACCUACUUCAUGGAUUCAACCCUCCAAAAAUACAUGCAAAGCUUUGAUUUGGGGAAACAAACUUCCACAAUAAACUUG